AUUGAACGCUGGCGGCAGGCUUAACACAUGCAAGUCGAACGAGUGGCGGAAGGGUGAGUAAUGCUUGGGAAUCUAGCUUAUGGAGGGGGAUAACUACGGGAAACUGUAGCUAAUACCGCGUACCAUAGGAUGAGCCCAAGUGGGUGUAGGUAGUUGGUGAGGUAAAGGCUCACCAAGCCGACGAUCUCUAGCUGGUCUGAGAGGAUGACCGGCCACAGUGGGACUUGGACACGGCCCAGAAUCCUACGGUAGGCAGCAGUGGGGAAUAUUGCGCAAGGGGGGAAACCUGACGCAGCCAUGCCGCGUGAAUGAAGAAGGCCGUCGGGUGGUAAAGUUCUUUCGGUAGCGAUGCGUUAACUACAGAAGAAGCACCGGCUAACUCCGUGCCAGCCGCCGCGGUAAUAC
rnacentral:rRNA from 1 species